GACGAACGCUGGCGGCGUGCUUAACACAUGCAAGUCGAACGAUGAAACCUAGCUUGCUAGGUCGAUUAGUGGCGAACGGGUGAGUAACACGUGACUAACCUGCCCCUUUCUCUGGGAUAACGCUCCGAAAGGAGUGCUAAUACCGGAUACUCACACCGAGCCACAUGCCUUGGUGUGGAAAGUUUUUCGGAAAGGGAUGGAGUCGCGGCCUAUGAGCUUGUUGGUGAGGUAACGGCUCACCAAGGCGACGACGGGUAGCCGGCCUGAGAGGGCGACCGGCCACACUGGGACUGAGACACGGCCCAGACUCCUACGGGAGGCAGCAGUGGGGAAUAUUGCACAAUGGGCGCAAGCCUGAUGCGGCGACGCCGCGUGAGGGAUGAAGGUCUUCGGAUUGUAAACCUCUUUCAGUAGGGACGAAGCGAAAGUGACGGUACCUAAAGAAGAAGCACCGGCUAACUACGUGCCAGCCGCCGCCGUAA
rnacentral:rRNA from 1 species